GGACUCAGUGGUAGAGCAUCUACUUGGCAUGCAGAAGGGCCCUGGUUCAAUCCCUGGCAUCUCCA
rnacentral:tRNA from 1 species